rnacentral:rRNA from 1 species
AUUGAACGCUGGCGGCAUGCUUUACACAUGCAAGUCGAACGGUAACAGGCCGCAAGGUGCUGACGAGUGGCGAACGGGUGAGUAAUGCAUCGGAACGUGCCCAGUCGUGGGGGAUACCGCAGCGAAAGCUGCGCUAAUACCGCAUACGAUCUAAGGAUGAAAGCGGGGGACCGUAAGGCCUAGCGCUAUUGGAGCGGCCGGUGGCAGAUGAGGUAGUUGGUGGGGUAAAGGCUCACCAAGCCAACGAUCCGUAGCUGGUCUGAGAGGACGACCAGCCACACUGGGACGGUGACACGGCCCAGACUCCUACGGGAGGCAGCAGUGGGGAAUUUUGGACAAUGGGCGCAAGCCUGAUCCAGCAAUGCCGCGUGCAGGAAGAAGGCCUUCGGGUUGUAAACUGCUUUUGUACGGAACGAAACGGUCCUGGUUAAUACCUGGGGCUAAUGACGGUACCGUAAGAAUAAGCACCGGCUAACUACGUGCCAGCCGCCGCCGUAAAAC